rfam:Clostridium cadaveris strain NLAE-zl-G419 genome assembly, contig: Ga0070261_109
ACAGUACAAACUGAUCAGGCCGAUGAAUGACUUUAUUUAUGGAGCCGGGCCGUAAAUGGCAACAGGAUUUUUAGGAAGCUACAAUACCUGUGGGACAGUU